CUGUAAGUAAGUGCCAGGCACAUUGGUAAGGUCAGAGGUGUGCAAAUGAUUACAUCAUUUCUUAUUACUAGCAUCCUAGGAUAGAGAGAGGUCUGUGCUCAGGCAGUGGACAUGGAUUCUAACUGUUACUAUGCUGCUUGAUAUCACAGAACCCUGGGCCACUGAAUUCAUCCUCAGGUUCUUAGGUUCCUUAUCUGUUACAUUAGAAGGUCAGGCUAAAUCAGGAGUGGCAAGCAAUUAGCAUGGCCCCCAUUCUCCAAACUCACACUCUUGGUAGAUAUUUCUAACGCAUCACGGCUCUCUUUCUGCUGAGAUGAGAUCUACCAAUUGGAGUUGGCACCCUAGAAGAAAGGUAUUUGUCAUUACAGAUCACAGAGUACUUGGAGAGGCAUAAUAGACUAUUAGAAAGAGCAUAGGCCUUGGAGACAGGCAAACCUGGAUUAAAAUUUUCAGUGCCAUUUACUGAGCUGUGUAAAUUCAGACAAAUGAAUUAACCUCUCUGAGCUUCAGUUCUUUCAUCUGUAAAACAGAUACGAUUCUUCCUACCUCAGCAGUUUGAAUGUCGCCUCCAAAAUUCAGGUGUUGCAAUUUUGCUAGUAUUAACAGGUGCAUUUAAUUACACUCAGAUUAAAAAAGGUAUUAAGAAGUGGGGCCUGUAAGAGGUGAUUAGGCCAUGAGGGACACCUUCUUCUUUAAUGGGACUAAAUCCCUUAUUAAGGAGGCUUCACAAAGCAUUUGGCUAGCUUGCGCUUCUGCUUUCUGCCAUGUAAGGUCCUAUCAAGAAGGCCCUCACCAGACCAAGUGCCGGCACCUCGAUCUUGAACUUCAUAGCUUCCAGAACUGAGGGCUCUCACCAGAUAGUCAAGCAGAUGCCGGUGCCAUGCCCUUGGACUUCCCAGUCUUCAGAACAGGCUCAUGUGGUUACGCUGGAGCUGCCCAGAUAAUCCUAGAGAUGAAUGGGUUUCUUCUUUGGAGAAAAGCCAAACCCACCUCCAAAUCCCAAGAAGACUUGUAAUUUCUAUAUAUUUAGACUCUGCUGAUUGUUUAUUUGCUUCUCCAGUCAAUUUGUAUCAGGUGCAGUUGCUGUGUUGA
ensembl:lncRNA